rnacentral:rRNA from 2 species
GAUGAACGCUGACAGAAUGCUUAACACAUGCAAGUCUACUUGAACUUCGGUUUGGGUGGCGGACGGGUGAGUAACGCGUAAAGAACUUGCCUCACAGUUAGGGACAACAUUUGGAAACGAAUGCUAAUACCUGAUAUUAUGAUUUUAGGGCAUCCUAAGAUUAUGAAAGCUAUAUGCGCUGUGAGAGAGCUUUGCGUCCCAUUAGCUAGUUGGAGAGGUAACGGCACCCCAAGGCUACGAUAGGUAGGGGUCCUGAGAGGGAGAUCCCCCACACUGGUACUGAGACAGGGACCAGACUCCUACGGGAGGCAGCAGUGAGGAAUAUUGGUCAAUGGUCGGAAGACUGAACCAGCCAUGCCGCGUGCAGGAAGAAUGCCUUAUGGGUUGUAAACUGCUUUUAUAUGGGAAGAAUAAGGUGUACGAGUACAUUGAUGACGGUACCAUAUGAAUAAGCAUCGGCUAACUCCGUGCCAGCAGCCGCGGUAAUACGGAGGAUGCGAGCGUUAUUCGGAAUCAUUGGGUUUAAAGGGUCUGUAGGCGGGCUAUUAAGUCAGGGGUGAAAGGUUUCAGCUUAACUGAGAAAUUGCCUUUGAUACUGGUAGUCUUGAAUAUCUGUGAAGUUCUUGGAAUGUGUAGUGUAGCGGUGAAAUGCUUAGAUAUUACACAGAACACCGAUUGCGAAGGCAGGGGACUAACAGACAAUUGACGCUGAGAGACGAAAGCGUGGGGAGCGAACAGG